rnacentral:lncRNA from 1 species
GGGAUUCAAUGCUUGAGUCUUGAAGCGGGUUUCAGCAUGCAGCAAGUCACCAAGAACCUAGUCCAUAUUUGAGAUAUUAUUACUGACCAAAUUCAAUCAAAUUGACUCAUACUCCGGGAGGAGGCGCAAGAGAAACUGUAAGAUACGAGUUCGUUGACGUUCUUUAUUGAGGAUUGCACUAGUAGCAACAUCAACAAGAAAAGACAUCAUAAAAUCUUGUUAUGUCCAAAGUUCUAAUGCGGUAAGAUAUCAUAGCUAUGAAUAUCAAACCCGCCUUGGUCAAGCUUGGCGAGUUCGUACUGAGUUUCAAAUUGGCGAGAUCCACUAGUAUAAGCCUAAGCUGCCGAGAGAUGCUUCGAGAUGUUUGAAACUACAGAGAAUGUUCGAAGCAAGAGAGAAAUUGGAGGAGAAACAGAUCCAAGAAUCCAGCAAACUACAUUGGCAUUAUUUGUCUGUCAUUGAAGGAGUUCCUUAUUGUAAGCAGUAACAACAGCCGAAUUUGUCAUCAUAGCGUUAGCAACUUUGGCAGGAGUAUUGAUGGCUGAGACAGCCGCAACAACCGGAACAGUGGUAACGAUAUCAUCGCCAGUGAGAUAGGAAAGGAUACCCUUACCCUGAACAUGAACUUGGAAUUGAUGUUCACAGAGAGCGAAGUUCUUCCCAUCGAAGCGAGUGCAGGUAGAAUCUUCUUUGAUACCAUGUAAAGAGUUGAGCAAAGAUUGAACAGAGAGAGAG